rnacentral:rRNA from 1 species
CACGUAGGGCGCGAGCGUUGUCCGGAAUUAUUGGGCGUAAAGAGCUCGUAGGCGGUUUGUUGCGUCGGCUGUGAAAUCCCGAAGGCUCAACCUCGGGUCUACGCGAGUCGAUACGGAGGCAAACUAGAGUGUUGCGAGGGGGAGACUGGAAUUCCUGGUGUAGCGGUGAAAUGCGCAGAUAUCAGGAGGAACACCGGUGGCGAAGGCGGGUCUCUGGGCAACAACUGACGCUGGAGGAGCGAAAGCGUGGGGAGCGAACAGG